rnacentral:SRP_RNA from 1 species
GCUGGGUGUGGUGGCGCAUGCCUGUAAUCCCAGCUACCUGGGAGGCUGAGGCAGGAGAAUCGCUUGAACCCAGGAGGUGGAGGUUGCAGUGAGCCAAGGUCGCACCACUGCACUCCAGCCUGGGCAACAGAGGGAGUCUCUGUCUCAU